UUUGGAAAUUAUACCACCCUGAACUCGCCCGAUCUCGUCUGAUCUCGGAAGCUAAGCAGGGUUGGGCCUGGUUAGUACUUGGAUGGGAGACCGCCUGGGAAUACCAGGUGCUGUAGUUUCCAAAA
rnacentral:rRNA from 1 species